AAGGAGACUGCCGGUGACAAACCGGAGGAAGGUGGGGAUGACGUCAAGUCAUCAUGGCCCUUACGGCCAGGGCUACACACGUGCUACAAUGGUCGGUACAAAGGGUUGCCAAGCCGCGAGGUGGAGCUAAUCCCAUAAAACCGAUCGUAGUCCGGAUCGCAGUCUGCAACUCGACUGCGUGAAGUCGGAAUCGCUAGUAAUCGUGAAUCAGAAUGUCACGGUGAAUACGUUCCCGGGCCUUGUACACACCGCCCGUCACACCAUGGGAGUGGGUUGCUCCAGAAGUAGCUAGUCUAACCGCAAGGGGGACGGUUACCACGGAGUGAUUCAUGACUGGGGUGAAGUCGUAACAAGGUAGCCGUAGGGGAACCUGCGGCUGGAUCACCUCCUUA
rnacentral:rRNA from 1 species